rnacentral:rRNA from 1 species
CAGUCGCCGCGGUAAUACAGAGGGUGCGAGCGUUAAUCGGAUUUACUGGGCGUAAAGCGUGCGUAGGCGGCUAAUUGAGUCGGAUGUGAAAUCCCCGAGCUUAACUUGGGAAUUGCAUUCGAUACUGGGAAGCUAGAGUAUGGGAGAGGAUGGUAGAAUUCCAGGUGUAGCGGUGAAAUGCGUAGAGAUCUGGAGGAAUACCGAUGGCGAAGGCAGCCAUCUGGCCUAAUACUGACGCUGAGGUACGAAAGCAUGGGGAGCAAACAGGAUUAGAUACCCGCGUAGUCCCUGUCUCUUAUAA